GGGGUCAUAGCUCAGUUGGUAGAGCGUUUGCAUGGCAUGCAAAAGGUCGGGGGUUCGAUUCCCCCUGGCUCCACCA
rnacentral:tRNA from 1 species